AAUGCUUAGGAAUCUGCCUAUUAGUGGGGGACAACAUUCCGAAAGGAAUGCUAAUACCGCAUACGUCCUACGGGAGAAAGCAGGGGAUCUUCGGACCUUGCGCUAAUAGAUGAGCCUAAGUCGGAUUAGCUAGUUGGUGGGGUAAAGGCCUAGCAAGGCGACGAUCUGUAGCGGGUCCGAGAGGAUGAUCCGCCACACUGGGACUGAGACACGGCCCAGANNCNNACGGGAGGCAGCAGUGGGGAAUAUUGGACAAUGGGGGGAACCCUGAUCCAGCCAUGCCGCGUGUGUGAAGAAGGCCUUAUGGUUGUAAAGCACUUUAAGCGAGGAGGAGGCUACUGAGACUAAUACUCUUGGAUAGUGGACGUUACUCGCAGAAUAAGCACCGGCUAACUCUGUGCCAGCAGCCGCGGUAAUACAGAGGGUGCGAGCGUUAAUCGGAUUUACUGGGCGUAAAGCGUGCGUAGGCGGCUUUUUAAGUCGGAUGUGAAAUCCCCGAGCUUAACUUGGGAAUUGCAUUCGAUACUGGGAAGCUAGAGUAUGGGAGAGGAUGGUAGAAUUCCAGGUGUAGCGGUGAAAUGCGUAGAGAUCUGGAGGAAUACCGAUGGCGAAGGCAGCCAUCUGGCCUAAUACUGACGCUGAGGUACGAAAGCAUGGGGAGCAAACAGGAUUAGAUACCCUGGUAGUCCAUGCCGUAAACGAUGUCUACUAGCCGUUGGG
rnacentral:rRNA from 1 species